rnacentral:siRNA from 1 species
UCCAGAAGGAAUGAGAUGCCAC